UUAUGGCUCAGGAUGAACGCUGGCGGCGUGCUAACACAUGCAAGUAGAACGGACUUACAUGAAGCCUAGCGAUUGUAAAGUAGUGGCGGACGGGUGAGUAACGCGUGGGUAACCUGCCGUAUACCGGGGGAUAACACUUAGAAAUAGGUGCUAAUACCGCAUAAGCGCACGGGAUCGCAUGAUCCAGUGUGAAAAACUCCGGUGGUAUACGAUGGACCCGCGUCUGAUUAGAUAGUUGGUGAGGUAACGGCUCACCAAGUCGACGAUCAGUAGCCGGCCUGAGAGGGUGAACGGCCACAUUGGGACUGAGACACGGCCCAAACUCCUACGGGAGGCAGCAGUGGGGAAUAUUGGACAAUGGGGGAAACCCUGAUCCCAGCGACGCCGCGUGAGUGAAGAAGUAUUUCGGUAUGUAAAGCUCUAUCAGCAGGGAAGAAAAUGACGGUACCUGACUAAGAAGCCCCGGCUAACUACGUGCCAGCAGCCGC
rnacentral:rRNA from 1 species